CCUACGGGUGGCAGCAGUGAGGAAUAUUGGUCAAUGGACGAGAGUCUGAACCAGCCAAGUAGCGUGAAGGAUGACUGCCCUAUGGGUUGUAAACUUCUUUUAUAAAGGAAUAAAACGAGGCACGUGUGCCUUUUUGCAUGUACUUUAUGAAUAAGGAUCGGCUAACUCCGUGACAGCAGCCGCGGUAAUACGGAGGAUCCGAGCGUUAUCCGGAUUUCUUGGGUUUAAAGGGAGCGUAGAUGGGUUGUUAAGUCAGUUGUGAAAGUUUGCGGCUCAACCGUAAAAUUGCAAUUGAUACUGGCAGUCUUGAGUACAGUUGAGGUAAGCGGAAUUCGUGGUGUAGCGGUGAAAUGCUUAGAUAUCACGAAGAACCCCGAUUGCGAAGGCAGCUUACUAAACUGUGACUGACAUUGAUGCUCGAAAGUGUGGGUAUCAAACAGGAUUAGAUACCCGUGUAGUC
rnacentral:rRNA from 1 species